ensembl:lncRNA
CGCGCGCACACCCGCCCGCUCCUCAGUCGCAUCCCCUCCGUCUGAUGAUCAGCGUCUGGUGCCCUUUUCUAAUCUGCCUCAUCUCGGGGCUUUAGAUGCACUGCUCUCUCUCUCUCUGGUCCUCAGAUCGUCAUCAUGAAACACCAUAAUUCAGCAGCGACUUGUCAUCUGGAAAGCCAGCGGUUCAACUGAGACGCAAUGAUCCAAUGGACCCGUGGGAGCGUGGCGGCCUGCGGGAUGGUUUCUCCUCUAUUGGGUGGUUCUUUCCAGGACUGUCACACCUGAGCAUGGUACUUUGAGGCUCAAUCUCAGGUUUGUCAGCCCAUGAAAUGCUUACUCGUCUCAGCGUAGCACGAAGAUUGAACACCACUUUUAAUUAUUCCCGUACUUGUUUGCCUGGUUUGCCCCAGCUUCAAAUAGAUGUAGAAGCAAAGUGGAUAUGAAUGAUUUUAAAUGUUUUUUUUGUUGUCUUUUUUGCAAAGGAGAAAUUGGAUGGAACAUACUGUCAUUUGUUUUAUUUUUUAAUUUUUUAAUUUAUGUCUUAUUAUUUGUUUAUUUAUUGUGUGGUUGUAUAAACAAAGUGUAACGCCUUUAACCAAUUUAAUUGAAUCAUUCACAAAGUUUGAAUAGGCCUUUUCUGUAUCAGAGCAAUGGUCAAUCCUUCUCAAAUCAAUGCUGCCUAUUCACCAGUAGAGGGAGCAGUCAUUACACCAAUGAGCAUCGCACGAAGUUUCUAUUGUCUGUUAAACCAAACAUUCUCAUAAAAUUCUCAUCGAAUCACCAAUAUCACGGAAUCCUUUAUUUAUACUGAUGCAGUAUUUCCAUAUGUGCGAAUGGGGAAACUUGAUUUCACCAGAGCCAACAUUAUGUGACUUAACGGGUAUUGUAAGUAUGCUUAAACCUUGCUCAAGGUUAUUAAACACGUCAUGCUUUAUUACAUCCCCUAGACAUGAAACAAUACCUUGUGUUUUGAUCGAGGGCCAGUGACCAGGGUGUCCCUGGUGACCUUACCUUCAUUGGGGGGGAGGGUCAGACUGGGGAACCUGUUCUCUACUGCCACGUUUGGCCAGGUAACGUCAUGUGUAGCCACAAUAACAGUGUGUGUACAUUGAUUUUUCUAUUAAUCUUUUCUUAUUUGCUCGAAUAUAAUUUUUUUGAAUAUAGCUUGAAUAGGAACGGCAAUAAAUGUGCCU